rnacentral:tRNA from 1 species
ACUUUUAAAGGAUAACAGUUAACCGACGACCUUAGGAGCCGAAACUCUUGGUGCAAAUCCAAGUAAAAGUA